AAUCAAACACAGGGGAGCUCGUGCAGCGGGCUGAGAGGAAGUAUAGCAAGCUUCGACCCUUUUACCUGAUGCGGAUAAUGCCGCCGUAGGAAGUCAUACCCUUUAUGAU
rnacentral:ncRNA from 2 species